rnacentral:rRNA from 1 species
CCGCCCGUCACAUCAUGGGAGUUGGAUGUAUCCGAAGUCACUGACUCAACCCGUAAGGGAGAGGGGUGCCUAAGGUAUGGCCGAUGACUGGGAUG